GAUCCUGGCUCAGGAUGAACGCUAGCUACAGGCUUAACACAUGCAAGUCGAGGGGCAGCAUGGUCUUAGCUUGCUAAGGCUGAUGGCGACCGGCGCACGGGUGAGUAACACGUAUCCAACCUGCCGUCUACUCUUGGCCAGCCUUCUGAAAGGAAGAUUAAUCCAGGAUGGGAUCAUGAGUUCAUAUGUCCGCAUGAUUAAAGGUAUUUUCUGGUANACGAUGGGG
rnacentral:rRNA from 1 species